rnacentral:misc_RNA from 1 species
GUUCGAGCGUCAGUACAACACUCAAGCUCUGCUUGGUAUUGAGCCGCGUCCGCAAGGGCCAGCUUUAAAAUCAGUGGCGGCGCCAUCUGGCUCUAAGCGUAGUAAUACUCCUCGCUUCUGGGUCCUGGUGGAUGCUGGCCAGCAACCCCCAACUUCUUAAGUUUGACCUCGGAUCAGGUAGGGAUACCCGCUGAACUUAA